UACGGAGGGUGCGAGCGUUGUCCGGAAUCAUUGGGCGUAAAGGGCGCGUAGGUGGCGGGACAAGCGUGCGGUGAAAGCCUGGGGCUCAACCCCGGGUCGGCCGUGCGAACUGUUUUGCUUGAGCACUGUAGAGGCAGGCGGAAUCCGGGUGUAGCGGUGGAAUGCGUAGAGAUCCGGAAGAACACCGGUGGCGAAGGCGGCCGCUGGGCAGUAGCUGACACUGAGGCGCGACAGCGUGGGGAGCAAACAGGG
rnacentral:rRNA from 1 species